GUGGCUUCUACCUCCAUGGGAGCUUGAGGAACACUCCCAUCAUUGUUGUGCAACCAUUGGUGGAUUGAGACAUUUGGACCAACCGUGAGUGAUCAACCAUUGGAGCAAGCUAUGGAGCUUGAAUAGCUCAUUGGAAUUGGUGUAUGUUUGUAAAAGUUGAUUGCUGAAACUGUUGGUGAAGAACAAAGGUUGACUGAAGCAUUGAGGUAAGGAUGCUGCAGGAGCCUCUGGUGGCAAGUGGCCCUAUCUAGAUUAUGCAUGAAAUAUGGCCCUUCUUUGAGUUUAUGCAUGCCUUUUGUAGUUGACAUGUAUAGGAUUUUAUUUUGAAAGCCCAUGAUCAUUUGUAUAUCUUGAUUCAUUGGAUGAACUUAGCCUAUGCUCAUGCCUUUGGUUACACCUUUUGUUGA